GUGGGGAAUAUUGGACAAUGGGCGAAAGCCUGAUCCAGCCAUGCCGCGUGUGUGAAGAAGGUCUUCGGAUUGUAAAGCACUUUAAGUUGGGAGGAAGGGCAGUAAGUUAAUACCUUGCUGUUUUGACGUUACCAACAGAAUAAGCACCGGCUAACUUCGUGCCAGCAGCCGCGGUAAUACGAAGGGUGCAAGCGUUAAUCGGAAUUACUGGGCGUAAAGCGCGCGUAGGUGGUUCAGCAAGUUGGAUGUGAAAGCCCCGGGCUCAACCUGGGAAUUGCAUCCAAAACUACUGAGCUAGAGUACGGUAGAGGGUAGUGGAAUUUCCUGUGUAGCGGUGAAAUGCGUAGAUAUAGGAAGGAACACCAGUGGCGAAGGCGACUACCUGGACUGAUACUGACACUGAGGUGCGAAAGCGUGGGGAGCAAACAGGAUUAGAAACCCGGGUAGUCC
rnacentral:rRNA from 1 species